rnacentral:piRNA from 1 species
UAUAUUCCGUCACAGACAUCUCUAAG